rnacentral:ncRNA from 2 species
CACUACCUCUACAUCAAAGGCCCCGUGCGAACGGGUUAAUAGGGAACGCCGUGCGUUCUGGCAGGACUUAUCAGGGUCCGGGAACAAGUCGGUGGCUGCCCCCGCAACUGUAAGCGGAGAGAUACCGGAUCGUAUGUCCUUUUAACAGGACUCGUCACUGGCUAUGCUCAACAGGCCGGGAAGACAGAACCGAUAUCAAGGACCCGUAAGCCAGGAGACCUGCCUUUGUGACGUAACCAGU